CUCCGACCCGCUCGGGGUGAGGCGGCCGUGCGCCCAGGGCGCGGCGCGGCGCGGCGCGACGCUGCCGGAGUGCUAGGCUCCGGCUGCAGCCACCGCUGCCUUUGUCUUAGAGGCGCCGAGGGGCUCCAGCCUCGACCUCUCCCGGGCCUGUAAGAACCUCGCGCCCCACUAGCUCUUUCUCCAGCGAAGCCCUGCCCUCACCACCCCAGACAUCCUUCCCCGCGCUCCUCUUUCCCGUCCCCAACCCGGCUCGGCGAAACCUCCCAGUGCCAGAGAAAAAGAAAUCCGCUUCGGAAGCUGAGAUUUCAGACAAAAGCUGCCUGUACCUACAACUCGGAGGCUCCAACCAACCACUGUUUUUUGUUUUGUUUUGUUUUUAACUUUAACACCUAUUGCCUGGGCUUUAAUUCCCCCUCACCCCUUCUCUUUAUUCUCCCGCUCUAAGCUUCUCCCUUGUGAUUAUAUUUAGUGGCGUUAUUUUCGUAUUUAUAUUUCUGUCCGCUGGGCUCUGAUCUGCCGAGAUGGCUCAGCCGCAGCAGCUCUACCAGUGGCUGGAAACCUCACAUCCACAAGCAGGGCUCGCAGCUCGCUCGGCUCCGAGAGGAUUUUUCCCCCUCCCUCCAGCUGAAACCUCGCAGAAAACUCCCCCUGCGGUCGACUGGAAAAUGAGCUCACCCAAAUCUCGGUAGGCAGCCGUGGAGGAGUGCUCGGCCAAUCAGGAGGCGCCCCCGCCCAGGCCGCCGCGCAUUGGCUGCGGGGAAAAUCAAUUAUCAAAUAAUCGAUCAGCAGGGAGCUUCGAUCUGCGGGGAAUGCGAACUGCCAGUCCCUAUUCCCGCCCUGAAGGUGGCCAAAAGGCUGACUCCCUCCAAGCAGCCCGCCCGCGCCUCCAUCGCCCCCACCCACGUCCCACUCGCCAGCUGCGGACUGAACCCUCACCCUCAAGGGGGUGUAGGUAGGGAAAGAGUUUUGAGCAAGAUUGGGGGUAUCCCUUCAUCCGAAGAUUGUUUGGGAAAGGUUAGGAGCUCUAAAAUGUAUUGAAGCCAACUCUUAAGCGCAAAGUAAAAGAUAAUUUGCGUCCGUCUGCGAGGUAGGACUGAAGAUUCUAUAGAGUGGGCUUCCGAGGAGCAGGAGACACAGGGCGAGCAUGAGAACAUAGGUCUGGAAUGAGGUUCCACCGAGCGUCCGUAGUCUCCUUAGGCGACAUCUAUCGCUUCCUUUAGCACUUCGCAGGAGUCAACGCGGGGUUGGUUGCCCCCAACAGUGGAGCGUUUCCAUAAAGCCGAGCAGAUGAGCCUUCCCAGCCGCCUGCACUGCACCCUUCCCCGCCCCCAACUCCGUACUGGCACCCUGUGUGCCUGAAGGGCUGACACACGUUCUCCCAAAACCUUCAGAAGCGCUUUGCCUUGAAAGAGCUCUCCCUCGUGUGUGUGUGUGUGUGUGUGUGUGUGUGUGUGUGUGUGUGUGUGUGUGUGUGUUUAAACCAUCUCCAGGAUCCCUUAUCAUUUGCUUCCUCUCUCCUUUUUCUCUCUGUUUCUCCCUGUCUUUUUUCUGACGCUUAAGUUUCAGGAUCUUUUAGUUUUUUUCCAUCACAUACAUGUGUAGGUUUUCUGGUACAAACGCCCUGAAACAUCACUUGGGAGGUUAAGACAGGCCCGCGAGUAAAAGCUGGGGACGGAGUGGGUGGGCAGCCAGGUGCAUUACCAGCGCCUUUAUGCCUCUGCCUACACUUCCCGGCCUCCCCCCAUCCCCCCACCCCCCCACCCCACGCCUCACCGUCGCUCCCCGGCCCCACAACAUGAACUUGGAAGCAGAAUUUCAGGCCAAGAUGGAACCUCCCCGUCUCAGGAAGGCGAUUUCUGUUUAAUCCUUGGGAGGCUGCGCUGGCUGGGCCAGGCAGCACGCUCCUUUUCCGAUUAGGGAAAGGACUAAGCUGGGCCGGCAGUCUGCGACCCCUUCCCGGAACCCCAGCCGACUUCGGGGUAUACCUGAGCGCCUUCCGAUGGCUGCUCGCGGGGGUGUGAUCAUCGUCCCCGCAUCAGGCCCGCCAGGCAUCUGCGCGACUCGGGGGUAGGAGGGAGAUGCGUGGGUGGGAGGUGGGGGUCAAACCAAACACCGACAGGGCACACCUACGUUUAUGAUCCUUAAAUGAACUGCGAGGGAAAUUGUGUAAGUAUAAUUUAACUGAGAGAAAUUUAUUGCGAAAUACGCUUAGAGGACUGUGGUCUUUAACAGCCUCAGGGGUUCUUCGGCAAAGAGGUAACGGGGCUUGGAUUUACCACAACUCUGCGGCCACGUUUUCAAAUUUGGAAAAGCACAGAUGAGAAAAGAAGGUUCAGGUAAGUCACCCUUUGCAAACAUAACCAAAAUCUUCAAAGCAGGAGGAAGACUAGACGACUGCAUGCUUUAACCAUGAUGUGCCAGAUUACCUUAAAAAUGUACUUUAAAUUACCUACACACAAAUUUUCCUUAAAGAAUGAGAUAGUUUGAGUUUGCGGACUUAAAAUCAACUCAGUAGUUUUGAAAAGUGCCCCUCCCCCCCCCCACAGUCUUUCCAUUUUAAACUGUGAACCUAAUAUAACUUCUAGGCCUUUAUACAAUUAAUUCUGAACAAUCAAGGGACUAAACACUUUUACAAUGUAAUUACAGUAGUACAAAUUGUUUGCCCAAACCUCAUUCUGGAUAAGGAUUUUACAAUUAGCAAACAGUUAUUACAGUUGGGGCUUGCUGAGAGAAAUUGCACAGAGGAUGUCUAGAGUUGCAAUAUAGUAGCCAUAAAAAAAAAAAAAACUCCUUUAGCAGGGCAGCAAUUAAUCAUCUAUUAAAAGGAAACAAAUGAAGGGACAGGUCUAGGUAUCUUAGUAAACUACUGUCAAUAUUUAUGCCCAUUUUUUGACAGCCCCUAUUCCUAACUUAUUUCAGAUACUUGCUUUUUUAAGGCAAUAGCACUUUUAUUUUGCAAAAACUUGGCCUGGUGAAAACUUCUGGCACUUGGCCCUAGCUCUUGCGAUUCAGGCCUUCCGUUCUCUUCUCAUCCUUCUUAUCUCAGAGCAUCUUUCCAGAGAUAGAGAACGGUGACAAAAGGAGGCAGACUGGGCCCUUGGUCUCUAUUGUUUACACCCUCCUGUAUGGAGGCAUUUCAAGCCCUCAGUGCUCCUCUGAGCUGCUGGUAAAGUCGUCUCGGAGAACUCCCCUGACUUUAUGUUCUAUAAGGAAUUGUGCUUCUGGAAAGAUCUAUAUCCUAAAUUAGGCUUUUGUCCCAAAAGGUCACACUGAUGAGUCAGCUCCAAAACCCUUAGAAACUAAAGAGGCACCUCUUAAGGUAAAACGUGUGUGUAUUUGCCAGCCCAGAAUAAACAAAAGCCUGUUAAUCAAUCGAGUUUGGCAGCUGUGUUCACAAAAUGAUAAGGGUUUAUCAUUUGCCACCAAACUUUAAGAUGUCCCUUAAAAUGCUGUGAUUGGUUUUUAGGUUGUCCUGUGGUGUGGAGGCUUGGCGUUUGUAUUUCAAAAACAUUCAUCCUCUGCAUCUCUCCCCCUCACUAGCAUUGACAUUUCAAAAAAACAGAAAUAAGAGGAGGGAGGGAAAGAUAGUUUAAAGAAAAUAGAUUCGAAAUCUAGUACAGAUAAUAGAGGAAUGCUGGAGAUAAGAGCCUGGAGGUGAUAUGAGAAAGGCACCAAGAAGUCAAAGCUAAUGAAUGGCUGUGAGAAAAGUGAAAUAAACUAUUGAGAGAUCUAUUAAAGGGGGAAACCUGGUUAGGUGAUAUCAAAGGGGGUUAACUGAGAGGAUUAGGGAGGAUGUUAAUCAAGUGCUCUAAAGCAUUACAGGCUAUAAGGACUGAAAGAUUUGUUUACUGCAUUUUGCUUCAGAAAACAAAGAAUGUCUGGGUCCAGUUCAGAAGUCAAUUAGAGGUCAGCUUAGGCUCUCCAAGGGUUGCAGGGAAAAUACCUAAGUUACUAUAUUCUGACUGGAUGAUGCAAAAAUUAGGGAAAAAAAAUGGGGGGUGAGAGGGAGGUGCUUUCCUUACUAUUCUAUUUCAAAUCAUUAAAAUGCUUUGGUCUCUAGGGGGGAAAAAACUACACUGGUUAACAUAAUUACUAGCUCUGACAUUUUCAGAAGUUAUAGAGGUCUUUUAUUAAUUAAAUGGAGGGCUUAAUAAAGUAUUCCUAAUAAAAUUUAUGGUUGUCUUAAAACUUUCUAAACAGUGCUAUAAAUUCUUAAUAAAAUUAACUGGGAAAUGAGUUAUUAGCCCACACUUUACCCUCCCCCCCAAACUGCUACAUAAGGAGUGUCUGCAGAAUGAAAAGGAAAUAGAAGCCUUUUAGUAAAAUAUAAAUAUUAGCCAAAGUCAUGCAUUGCUCUGAAAGAGGCAAAGUCCCAACUGUUGUUUCUACUGGCCUCAUUCUCCAAUAUCCCCCAAAAGCUAUCCCACAAAACUUCAUCAAGAGAAUUUAUUCCCCUUCCCAAGUACCUAUUAUAUAUGCAUUUAUGUGUAAGUGCAUUUGAAAUACAACCUUCAAUUUUGUGGACUGAGUUGUAUGUUAAAUGUAGUAAAAAACAUAGAUGCAUCAUGCAAAGUUCCGCUAUAGAAUCUUCAAGUCUCACGGUGCAAAUACUUUCUUUAUUUUUAAUUAAAAAUAAAAUGCCCUGUAAUUUCUCUCACUUUAAUUUCUAUAAAGAUAACUUUUAAAUGAUAAAUUUCUAAAUAACAUUUUUCUCUGAAGUUAUUUAAAAGUGUAUUUUCUGAAGCAACAUUUUGUUGACAUAUGCAAAACCUUUUUAUAUCAUUACGUUUCAAAACUUUUAGUGAGUUAUCUUAAGUUUUCAGGUACUUCACUGCUUCACAGAUACAAUGCUGGCUGGUUAGCUAUUUUAAAGAAGAUCACACACAUACACUUCAAACCACAGCAGCCUUGGUGAAUUGUUUAGCAUUUGAAGGCUUGAUCUUUUGUGCCGUCUACUGGACAAUAGAAAAACUGCAGCCUUGAUGACAAACUUUAAUCUUGUUUUACGGGGGUGGGAGGUGGUGGUUGGGGGUAUGAUUUGGUGCUGGUAACUAACAAGAGAAAACCACAGUACCCAACUUAGACUCAUAGGACAGGUCUUGGGGUCUAACCAUGUUUUUCAAAUCCAAAGAUAGGAUAUGAUAUCAAUCAUAGGUGUAUAGCUCAAACACUUGAUUAAGGCACAAGGCUAAAACCUACAUUGAAUACAGCUGUGCAUGUGUGUGUACCCAUAUGCCUAAACUUGGGAAGACAGCCUGGGAAAAGAAAGGAAGAUAGGACAGAUUCAACAACUCUGAAAACAAAAACAAAAACAAAAAACAAAAAACAGUAGUGGUUGCUUGACACUGAGGAUGAAUUUGCUUGACAGUCAAGUUAAAUCUAUCUACUGCCUCGAUAAUCUAGCAUGUACAAAUCAGUUCUUGGAAUUUGGAAAGUGACAUUGGUAAUCAAGAAAAAAAACCCUUUAGGAGAGGGGAAAUGACACUGGUAAUUAUAAAAGUUUUAGUGCAGUUCCCUUUUGGCAAUUUGGGAUGAAAAUGUAAAACUUCAGUGUUUUCACUUGGAGAGCACAAGUGUUAGAAAGUGUGGGUGAAAUUCACAGUCAGACAACUUCAUAUGGCAGAGACCAUUUGAUGUUCUCUUAAACAUUAAGAAACAUUGUGCACAUUUUGGUUGUGAUUUAAAAAAGAAAACAUUUAUAGAUCUCUAGCAUUGUGGAAGCUUUGUAAAAAAAAAAAAAAAAAAGCAUGAAGCUAACUUUGACCUCUGUUCGACAGUGACAGUUUCUGAAGUAAUCACUGUUACCAUAGAGAAGUGAUUUUGUGAUUUAAGAAACAAAUAAGCCCAAUGCCCCCCAAAUAUAUAUCUGUAUAUGUAUCUAUGUGUGUAUAGACACACACACACACACAUACACAUACAUGGAGAAGUCAAGCUGAUUUUGUCCAAGAGACAUAGACUUUGGUGCAAGCACUUUUAAAAUUGUUCAUGUGCUUUUCUGAAGUUAAAACUCCUUAUCGCAUUUUAAUAAAACUUGCCAGCACUUGACUAGGUAUUAGGGCGUCUUUUAAUAAAAACCUAAUAGUGAAAAGGAGACAGCUUUAGGACAUUUUAUUGUGCAUAAAUAUAUUUCAAUGAUCUACUUCAAUAUACAUUUCGAUGUGGCACUAUGUCAGAAUGACUUUAAAAUAUUGGAUUAAAUAUAGAUACAUCAAGAGAAUCUGAACUGACAUUGGCUACUUAAAGCAGCGAGAUUGCUUGCACUGCUGUAUUAGAGCCUCAGUUGUUCUAUAUAAAUGGAGGUGUUGGUGGUGGGUGUCUUUUAAACUUUAGUAUAAACCACUGAACUGUGAAAGGUUAUUAUUUUAUGAGAUGCUGUUUGGAGUCAUUUUUUGAGAUGCUGUUUGGUCUAGAUCAGAAAACCAACCAAAAAGAAAAAAAAAUCCUCAUAACAAUAGCUUGAAAAUGUAGAAAAUUCUUCCAGGAACUAAUCACAAGUGCAUACACGUUUGAUAUAUUCUAAACUAAUAGUUGAAGUACUGAGUGCUGGAAGAGGUCUGGCGAACGUGCUCUAGUCACUAAUAGCAAACAUUUACCUUUGAAGCAACAGGAUGAGUCACACUGGCCAUGCUUAGCAUCCAUGUUCGACUGGAUAAAGGGGCAUAUUUUGUGAAAACCUUCAGGCAAAAAUCUUACUGAUUAUUCAAAAAUAAAUAUUUUAACAUUUCAUUGAGCUAUCUAAUGAAUAAGGAAAACAUCGAAGGCUUCCUGCGGCGCAGAAAGAAUUCUAGCAGCGUCAAAAACAUAAAGGAGCAAAGAACAAGAGGAAGCUGAAGGACGCCUGCUGAGUAGUUAUUCACUUGUGAAUAUCUGAAAACGUGCUUUUCUGUGCCCUUAUUUAAAAAUGAAAAACAAAUAUCAUCUUUCUUUGUCCUUUUAAAAAAAUUAACGUCAGAAUAUGGCUAUGCUAGCUAAACAUCAUUUUUUUUUUUCCAGGCGAUUUAUGCGAGAAAGGGCCAAUUUGAACACUGGUAACUAGUGGGAGAAAUAAACUUAUAAGCCACAAACACAUCGGUUCGCAACCGAGCCCACAGCCCCGCGAGGCGCCCCUUCUUCCCAGCUCCCGGAGGAUAACUUCAUUGACUGGCAGGUCGGCGGCCACUUCUGGGAGGGCCACUGUUUACCGAAUGAGAACCUCUCAUGGCACAGUCCUUACAGCAGGGCUGCCCUGUCGCCCUUGCGCGUCCGGGUGCCGGGUCCCGGCGGUGUUCUGCAGCGCGAUCCGGUCCCCGUGCCCUGAGCCACCCAGAGCCCUGGGCCUGCCUGCACCCUGGGGCGCGCUGACUCCCUGGGUCGGGUGGGGGUCCCGGCAGGAUGCACUUCCAGCUGCGGGGUCCGCGGAGUUUGCUCGCACCUGGUUUGGCGCAGGGACGUAGGUUUGGGGGACUGUGUCCCCUGGGAAGAGCAAAAGGUGAAAAGGUCCCCUCUCCCACCAGUGUGCCCCAUCCCCGCCAGUUUUGACUGCGAUCCUAUUUUUCUCUUUGGGGGUCGCCUCAGCCUGUGCCGGAGGGAGUUGGGAGUUGGUCAGGCUUGGGCAGCGGUGGGUGGCAGCCCGGGAGCCGGAGCAGGAGCGCGAGGACCCGCGGACUGGGGCGCAGCGACGAUGGCGCACCGGCUUCUGUCUUCUGCUGCUUUGGGGCUGAGCAUCCGAGGGCGCCUUUCUCCCCAGCUGGACUCGGGGACGCCGGAUCACCCCGCCACCUGCCUCUUGGCCUAAUUCUGGAAGCUUCUCGCCUCCGUUCCUGGACGGCUCUUCCUCAGGGGCAGCAAUGAGCCCCGGGGUGCGCUCAUCUCCUCCGAGAUCAAUUGCUCUACGAUUCCUUUUAGGACUUGCAGGGGGGAGAGGUUGGGGACCCCGGCCCCAGAGUGGCUCCUGCGGCACGGCGGCCCACUCGGAGGGGUCGCAACAAGCGCGCAUUUGUGGCCAAGGUUGUGAUUUCAGGUGCGCUAAUGGGAUCAGACGUCCUGGGAGAAGCGUGAGGGGAUUGGUGCCGUUCCUUCUCCCGGCUUCCAGCGGCCGCCGGGUGGAAGUGGGGACACAGGAGGGCCGCGCUACGGGCGCCCAGCGCGGGCGCUCACACCUCUUGAGGAGGCGUGGAACCCAGCGCCCCAGGUGGGGGUAGGGCGCGGGGGUAUAGGUAGUGAGGGGUGACGCUGGGAGAGGACCGGGAGACGGAGGAAAGGAGACAGCCGGGGACACUACUGAGAGAGGGAGUAAGAGAGUGCGCUGCAGAACCGGGGACAGAGCGGCAGAACCGACCGAGAGCUGGAAUUGGAUUGCGUCCUGUCCCAGCACCAGGACACAGAUAAACAGCCUCCCAGCACUGGUACUCGCCAGAGAAGGGGAAACCCGCGUCCCGCGCUGCUGCUUUCUGCUUCGGAGAACCUUAUCUAGACUUUUGCAUAAUUGCGUGUUGGCUUUCCUAAAUAAUUCGGAAGAGCGAUUUCUGCUUCCACUUGUUCACAUAGGCAAACAAUCCCUGUGGGGAAAAUGUGUGUGUGUGUGUGUGUGUGUGCGCGCGCGCGCGCGCGCGUUCCGGUGACAAUUGAGGCCAGAGGCAAACACAUCCUCUUUCAAAAUGUCCCUUAGGUGAUCCCGUAAAUGACUGUCCUGCUCUAGGCAGUGGGAGUCAUCAUCCACUGGGUAGGGGGCUGUGAUUACUCUGCCUAGGGACCACUUUUCACAGCUCCUUCCCCACCGUAGAUAAGGGUGUUAAAUCAAGGCAUUUAGUUCUACUUUUCCAUUGCACAGAUAAGCAAGCUGAGACCCAGAUAGGUUAAGUGAAGUAUCCAAUUUCUUCUCUCCUUUUCUUUUCUGUAUGCCUCAAGAUGGUUUUAUACACACACACACACACACACAUACAUACACACACACACACACCCUGAACUACGAAAAACAUCACAACUACGGAAGAAACAUUUUUUACUCUUCUUAUUUCCUAAGAAGACCAAAAGUCAGAGCUUGUCUUCUGUCAGAAGCAGAUGGGUGUGUGAUGGCAGUGUGUGAGUGUGCAAGUGUGGGGGGGCUGGGCGUUGGCGCCAUCCUUCCUCCUUCCCUGCUCCAUCCCUGACUCCAUCACCGAGCCCCUUCAGGGAAACACAAGGCAGGAGGUUGUACCGCUAUGCAGAAGACCCCUCCAGGUAGGGAGCUUGAAGAAAUGAAACAGCAGGGAGAACCUGUAUUUGGUGGUGAAAGUGCUGGAAUCUUCUAGGCCUUGCUCAUCUCCAACCAGCUACUUCUCCAAAAUAAAGCAAAACAAAACAAAACAAAACAAGGCAAACAACAACCACCACAGGCCUUUUGCAUCAACUUCCUGUGACUAAGUGACCCUAAGCAGAGAACUGGCUCAGGUCACUUAGGGCAGGGGUAGGACAUUGAAGGCCUUAUUUACUCCAGGAUUAAAAACAGCAUCCCCUCUAACCCUGUCUCUCUUGGGCAGCCUGUCUUUUAAGGAUGUGAAAAGCAGCUUCUUGGAGUCUAAACAGGCACAAUACCCCACUGGGAUGUUUAGGUAUCAGGUUCACAAAAACAGCAUUUUACUCCUGCUUCCCCGAACCCCUUUGCAACCCAGGCUACCAUACUCUUUGCAAGAAUAUCCGGUAUCUUUUCCGGGCAAAAUGAAUUGAGUUGGCACUUCCUGAAAUAUUUUUAUUUUUAGCUUCAAAUAAUUUUGCUCCUAAAACAAAUUAGUUACUUAUCCUCUUCUCACCAUGCCCUAAUUAUUUUUAGCUUUAUUCUAAUUUUUUUUGUUACCUUGAAUUUUGUCUUGAUUUGAGAGUUUGGUAUAGAAUACUUGUUUGCAGACUGGUAAUCUGCAGUUUAUUUUGUUUUUAAAAAACUCUGUGAAGUUUACUGUUGUUUUAAAACUCAUGGAAUAUUAACAAAAAAUAACCUAAUAAUAUUCUUCGAGGCUUAAACUUUGGUUAUAGUCUAUGUCCUAGCCUAGCUUUUAUGAUAAGCCUGUUGCAUUUUAAAGGUGCUUAUUGAUUCACAUGUCUUUCAGUAAAAAAUCUUUUGAGGAACCCAGACUUUUGAAAGCUAUUUAAUUUGCAUGUAUUUGGUCAUUACAGGCUAAAACUGAAGAAUGAGUUUGGAAAUUGGUUCUAUUAGAAAACACUGUUUGCACAUCCAAAUGUUCCCAGUCAAGAUUUCCCAAUAGUGGCAGUGAGAAAGAGAGGCAGAGAGAAUUAGGAUACUUGGGUUCAAAUUUUAGCUUAGUCACUGAUGGGCUGAUUGAGUGAGAAGAACUUAAUCACCUGCAAAAUGAAUUGCUUACAGUAUUUUGAUCUCUAAAUACACUUUUGAUUCUGAUAUUUAAUGAUUUUGUAUUACAAAAUUGGGCAGAAAACGCAUAGCUUCAUAACAAGCAAAAAAUUUUACUGUUAACACAUCAUACUUAUUUUAGAGUAAAUUUGAAGGAGGUUGAUGUUUUGGAAUUUGGUUGGAGAGUUAUCCAAAAGCAAUGUUUCCCUGACUCAACUACAACCAAUUACACACAGUGGCCAGUAGGAAAAGGAUUAAGUUGUCCAGACAAAAUAUAAUGGUAACAAAAAAUAAUCUUGUGCUUUUGACAUCUUUCUGUUUACUUGUUUUUGUCUUGUUCUAAUGCCCCCUGAAUUACUAUUUUCUAAAAAACAGUCUCAUCUAAAAUAAAACAUAGUAAUGUGUUUUCAAAUGAGACAUUUUAUUGUAGUUACGAUUUCUUUUGUAUAUUUUCCUAAUGCAGACUACAAUAAAUACACUAAAAUAUUUCAAAUGGUUUGCUUGUGUAUAUGCUCUUAAGUCGUCUUUAUCCCACUUUGGGAAGCAUAUGCUGUGUUCUGAACAGUUUUAACUUUAUAUAUCAGCAUGACUAAGUCCUUUCAACAACUAUCACGCAAAGACCACGGAGAGCAGAACUAUUCAGGAUAUCAAGAAAUGAACACUAAUGAAUAGGAAACAAUGAACCCUAAUUUUAGGAAGAAAUUAGUUUUGCAAUUCAGCAUUGUCAUUUAAAGUGGAAUUGUGUCUCGUAAAACUUCUGUAACUGCCAUACUUGUUGCUAUCAGUAAAUUCUAUGAAGUCUCUAUUUUACACGACAGCAUUUUGAAAUGUAAUUGCUACAGUUUUAGAUAUUUCUAAGGCCUGAAUUUAUUAUAACAGGCAAUUUUUGAAAAAUAUACCAGAUUCAAUUAAAAAAUGGCAAUAAUUUCUCAUAAAAACCUUCAAAACAUUGAAAUCUGUGUUUUAUAUUCCAGGGAAUAAAAACAUAAAAACUUUACUUUGGACUUAAAAAAAAAAUUCAUUCACUCUCAAUUCCCCGCUUCUUUGAGAUCCUCCCGACAGGGAAAUUGUCAGAAGAAUUCCUUAAUACCUUCAGGCACUGUAAACUCCACAUAUGGAUCUUUAAGUCUGAAAAUGACAACUUAGAUUUUCGUUGAAAGAUAUACCUGAAAGAACUAAAGUAAACAGAAAGAUGUCAAAAGCACAGGAUUUUUUUUGGUACCAUUAAAUUUUGUCUGGAUAUUUGUUGGUGUUUUAGAAGUUAAAACACUUAGUCCCGUCUCCACUGGCCAGACAACAAAAGUUGUCUAACUUUUGGAGGCACUUUCCCUACUGCCUAAGCAUGCUAAGGCAUUGCUUAGCAUGACCAGGAUGCUUAAGAACUUGAAAUUCACAAAGUUGAAAAUAGAGAGUUAUGGCUCUUUUAAUAACUGUCACUUUAUCCUGAUUCUCAGUCAAUAUCCAAGCACAAUGUAGAGUGUGGAUGAACUUCAAAUGCUCUGGAACCAGCUACUGCUUUGAAGGUCAAACUCAGUCAUAUUUAAAAUUUCAGCAAUAUCACACUACUGGCAAUUGUUGGCUCAAUGAGACCAACUGCUCUCCUGACCUGGUAAGAACCAAGUGCCCACAGCCGCUUUCCUGACUUAUGAUUCUGUAUCUGGUAGCUACCUUUUUUCUCCUUGAGUAUUUAACGCUCUUUAAUUUUGCACUUUUGCAUUUCUUUGACAGUUGGCUAGCAUCCUUUAAAAAUUCUAGCCUAAUUUAGACCAAAAAGUACUAUAUAUUUUUGGAUAUUCUUAACCCGUUAGGUGCUUAGGGCUUAUUUGUUCAGGAGUUCAACCAAUAAGCCUUCCUCAGUGCUUUUAGCUUUUUACUCCAGGAAGGAAUUAGUUUGAAUUGCUCCAAAAUUGUCUUCUUUUUAUUUUCUCUUUCCUUUCCUAUGAGUCUGUAAUUUAGUUCUGCUGACACAGUUGAUUAACCCCAUACUGGGGAGUUGAUUAAAAACACUUUCUAAAAAUGUAUACUCCUAUUGCUGGUAUUAGUCAGCAUUUUUUUUGGCCUAUCACUUUUUAAGUUUCAGUUUAUCAAAAUCUUUCCACUCCAAUAAUUCUAAAUGGGCACACUUUAAAAGCUACAUACCUAGUUCUUUUUAAUAUAGGCUAUUCUUACGGCACUCUCUCUAAUGUACCUCCUAUAUUAGAAUCAUUCCAGGGAGCAGCAAGUGGUCUUAAAGACAUCUAUAAAGCCAUAUAUGAGCCAGGAGCUGAUGUGAACAAUAAUCACAAAUCUAUGAGCCAAGUUUGUUCUUCUCUUUGUGCUUAGGGGACCAUUCAGUUGUGCGACAGAUUCCCUCUUGAAGAACACUUCCUCAAAAAAAUUCUUAACCAUUGUCAUAGACUGAAGGAAGCUGCUCGGGGUCAUUACGUACUUUGUACUCUCCAGUUAACCUAGACACCAAAGCCAUUCCCACCAUCCUACUUCUGUCUUCUUGGAAACUUUCAAGAAGACGUGAGCUUUAAAGACUGUUUCAGAGUUUACAUGCCUCUUUCAUUGUCACUGACAUUUUUCGGAUCGUGAUUAAAAAGGCCAGUCUGUUGCAAAUUUCAUAAAUUAGUCUUUUCUCUCUGUUCUGCUGUCAGGUUGCCCUUCUCACUAAUGUCACCACAUGUCACUGCUGCCCUAGCCAAUCUCAAUUUGACUGAAAGGGUUUGACUAACUUUUGGGUCCUGUUUCCUAUAAUUGGUAACUUUGCCAACUUUUUGGUUUUACACUGUUUCACUCAGAAUAUUAUUAUUCAGGCAAAGUUAAUUUUCUGUUCUAAACAAGUCUUUGAUACUCAGGGAUAUGAUUGAGAAUUCAAUUUUUGUCUUUAACAAAACAUCACAGUUUGCAAAACAUCCCCCUUCCCCUCUUCAGGUCUACUAUCUUAGUUUACUCCUCCAAACCCUGUAAGAACAUACCAUCAGCCCUAUUUCACAGAUGAGGGCCACACAAUUGUUUAGAAUCAAAGACUGUGUACCG
rnacentral:lncRNA from 1 species